rnacentral:rRNA from 1 species
GCACAGAGUUAGCCGGUGCUUAUUCUGUCGGUAACGUCAAAACAGCAACGUAUUAAGUUACUGCCCUUCCUCCCAACUUAAAGUGCUUUACAAUCCGAAGACCUUCUUCACACACGCGGCAUGGCUGGAUCAGGCUUUCGCCCAUUGUCCAAUAUUCCCCAC